GACGUAGGGUCCGAGCGUUGUCCGGAAUUAUUGGGCGUAAAGAGCUCGUAGGCGGUUUGUCGCGUCUGCCGUGAAAGUCCGGGGCUCAACUCCGGAUCUGCGGUGGGUACGGGCAGACUAGAGUGAUGUAGGGGAGACUGGAAUUCCUGGUGUAGCGGUGAAAUGCGCAGAUAUCAGGAGGAACACCGAUGGCGAAGGCAGGUCUCUGGGCAUUAACUGACGCUGAGGAGCGAAAGCAUGGGGAGCGAACAGG
rnacentral:rRNA from 1 species